rnacentral:rRNA from 1 species
GGAUCCAGACUUUGAUCAUGGCUCAGGAUGAACGCUAGCGACAGGCUUAACACAUGCAAGUCGAGGGGCAGCGAGGGAGUGGCAACACUUCUGUCGGCGACCGGCGCACGGGUGAGUAACGCGUAUGCAACUUGCCCUUCACAGGGGGAUAACCGGGAGAAAUUCCGACUAAUACCGCAUACGUCCCCUGGGGGCAUCCCCGGGGGAUGAAAGAAUUAUCGGUGAAGGAUGGGCAUGCGUGAUAUUAGGUAGUUGGCGGGGCAACGGCCCACCAAGCCCACGAUAUCUAGGGGUUCUGAGAGGAAGGUCCCCCACAUUGGUACUGAGACACGGACCAAACUCCUACGGGAGGCAGCAGUGAGGAAUAUUGGUCAAUGGACGAGAGUCUGAACCAGCCAAGUCGCGUGAAGGAAGACGGAUCUAUGGUUUGUAAACUUCUUUAGUGCGGGAACAAAGCGGCGUCGUGACGCCGGAUGAGUGUACCGCAAGAAUAAGCAUCGGCUAACUCCGUGCCAGCAGCCGCGGUAAUACGGAGGAUGCGAGCGUUAUCCGGAUUUAUUGGGUUUAAAGGGAGCGCAGGCUGCGAGGCAAGUCAGCGGUCAAAUGUCGGGGCUCAACCCCGGCCUGCCGUUGAAACUGUCCUGCUAGAGUUCGAGUGAGGUAUGCGGAAUGCGUUGUGUAGCGGUGAAAUGCAUAGAUAUGACGCAGAACUCCGAUUGCGAAGGCAGCAUACCAACUCGCGACUGACGCUGAGGCUCGAAAGCGUGGGUAUCGAACAGGAUUAGAUACCCUGGUAGUCCACGCAGUAAACGAUGAAUACUAACUGUUCGGAGGGCGACCUCUGAGUGGUAAAGCGAAAGCGUUAAGUAUUCCACCUGGGGAGUACGCCGGCAACGGUGCAACUCAAAUGAAUUGACGG